rnacentral:rRNA from 1 species
GGAUUAAGAGCUUGCUCUUAUGAAGUUAGCGGCGGACGGGUGAGUAACACGUGGGUAACCUGCCCAUAAGACUGGGAUAACUCCGGGAAACCGGGGCUAAUACCGGAUAACAUUUUGAACCGCAUGGUUCGAAAUUGAAAGGCGGCUUCGGCUGUCACUUAUGGAUGGACCCGCGUCGCAUUAUCUAGUUGGUGAGGUAACGGCUCACCAAGGCAACGAUGCGUAGCCGACCUGAGAGGGUGAUCGGCCACACUGGGACUGAGACACGGCCCAGACUCCUACGGGAGGCAGCAGUAGGGAAUCUUCCGCAAUGGACGAAAGUCUGACGGAGCAACGCCGCGUGAGUGAUGAAGGCUUUCGGGUCGUAAAACUCUGUUGUUAGGGAAGAACAAGUGCUAGUUGAAUAAGCUGGCACCUUGACGGUACCUAACCAGAAAGCCACGGCUAACUACGUGCCAGCAGCCGCGGUAAUACGUAGGUGGCAAGCGUUAUCCGGAAUUAUUGGGCGUAAAGCGCGCGCAGGUGGUUUCUUAAGUCUGAUGUGAAAGCCCACGGCUCAACCGUGGAGGGUCAUUGGAAACUGGGAGACUUGAGUGCAGAAGAGGAAAGUGGGAUUCCCUGUGUAGCGGUGAAAUGCGUACAGAUCUGGAGGAACACCCGUGGCGAAGGCGACUUUUCUGGUCUGUGAUUGACACUGAGGCGCGAAACCGUGCGGGAGCAAACAGGAUUAUAUACCCCGGGAGUCCACACCG